rnacentral:lncRNA from 1 species
AGAAAAAAGAACAUAGAAUGUUAGCCUACAGAAAGGUCUUGAAUGACAGAAUUCUAGAAUGUAGAAUAUUAGAACUAGAAGAAGCCUGGGAGAUCACUUUGUUCAAACCCCUCAUCUAACUCAAGAAUAGACUGAGGCCAGGAGAGGGAAAGUUUGCCCAAGGGCACAUAGUUAAGUCACUGAUGGAAUUAGGCAGAUGAAGCUAUUUGGACUUAUUUCAAUUCAAUUAAGAAGCACUGCAGGUCUUUGGUCAGAGCCAGCAGAUUCUGUUCUACUAGUGCCUGGGGAACAGGCCUCUUUCCAGUUACAUACUUGGGGCUCUGAGCUUCAGCUCUCAACACAUUCAGCCCUUGAAACUCCAAGGCCCAAGGUCGGUUAAAGGUGGGGAGAACCAGGCUUGGCCAGCCCUGCAAAAAUGAGGAAAUCAGCCAAUUUUGUCUUCAAGGCCUCCAGCUUCCUCUGCCUGGAAUCUCAGAAUCUGAUGCAGAUGGAGGAGAGAAGUAUCUCAAAGACCUUCCAGAGCCAGCUCCAACUGACUGCUUUGCUCAUAGCAUCUGCUGUUGCUAGAUGGCAUCAUAUUAAUUCCAUCAAAUCCUGGAGCAUUGCAGUGUGCCUUCAGCAACUAUAAUGAGAAAGUAUUUUGUCUUCAUCACUUCAGAAGAGGGAAGGGAGAAGGUUAAGCUUGGUCUAAGUGUUUUCAGUGAUUCCAAAGUUCACAAUACCACAAAAACCCAAAUCUUUUCAUUAUUAUUCUCAUGGGGAUGGUACACAGUUAUGAAUCAUAGAACACUAUGAUCUUGGAAGAAGGAAAAUUAGAACCUAAUACAAAGUGCAAUGGAGAGAUACAGGAUGGGUAUAAGUAGUUUGCUACACAUUCCCUUUGAUGACUUACUAAAGUGAAGUGGAAUAAGUGACACUGGUGUCAUGUAUUAACAGAAAGACCUGCCUCUAUAGAAAAGGGAUUAGAUUUAUUCUGUUUAGUCCCUAAGAAUAGAAUUAGGAAUGAUGAAUGGCAGAUUUAGAAGAGCAGGUCUCAACAUAAGCA